rnacentral:lncRNA from 1 species
GACAGGUCACAGCCUGCAGGGACACUCGCUGGCCGGCCGACCCACCACCAUCUCUGCACUGGCCCCGGGCUGGGAGACGUCACCCCCGAGCAUCAGCAUGAUGCAGGAGGACCCGGAGACCCUGCUGGCCUUGCGAAGGGCCAAUAUCGUGGCCCAGUACCAUCAGGCGCACCAAGCAGGGUCUCCGCGGGACCUGUCACUGUGCAAGGUCACUGACCACCAAGGCUUUCUGCAGUGAGUCCCCUGGACACCCCUCACCCAUCUCAGGGGGGGGUGGCAUUUGCAGGAACACCUCUCUGGAGGCUGACUCCCCCCCCAGGUCGGGACCUCAUCCCCUGGAGCCCUCUGAGGGCCAUGUCUGUGCUGGGCUGCAGCUGAGACACCCUGGAGGCCGACCUGGGAUGUGGGCAGGAAGGGAGCUGAGCCCGGGGGAGGCCCCUGGACACUCAGAGGAGGAGCCUCCACACCUGCUUCUGGCAGG